rnacentral:snRNA from 1 species
AUAAAUUUUUUUCAAAUGAAAAAAAAAAAAAAAAAUCUGUUCUUAUCAGUUUAAUAUCUGAUACGUCCCCUACCCGGGGACCAUAUAUUAAAUUGAUUUUUGGAACUGGGAGAUGGAAAAGGGGCUUGCUCCGUCCACUCCACGCAUCGACCUGGUAUUGCAGUACCUCCAGGAACGGUGCACCCCCA